rnacentral:rRNA from 1 species
CACGUAGUUAGCCGUGGCUUUCUGGUUAGAUACCGUCAAGGCGAGAACAGUAACUCUCUCACUUGUUCUUCUCUAACAACAGAGUUUUACGAUCCGAAAACCUUCUUCACUCACGCGGCGUUGCUCGGUCAGACUUUCGUCCAUUGCCGAAGAUUCCCUACUGCUGCCCCCCGUAGGAGUCUGGGCCGUGUCUCAGUCCCAGUGUGGCCGAUCACCCUCUCAGGUCGGCUAUGCAUCACGGUCUUGGUAGGCCGUUACCCCACCAACUAACUAAUGCAGCGCGGGCCCAUCCACCAGUGACACCGAAGCGUCUUUUAUUAUUCUUCCAUGCGAAAAAAUAAAUUAUGCGGUAUUAGCACCUGUUUCCAAGUGUUAUCCCCCUCUGAUGGGCAGGUUGCCCACGUGUUACUCACCCGUCCGCCACUCAUUUUCUUUCGGUGGAGCAAGCUCCGGUGAAAGAAAGUGCGUUCGACUUGCAUGUAUUAGGCACGCCGCCAGCGUCGU